rfam:Trichobilharzia regenti genome assembly, scaffold: TRE_scaffold0008575
GUACUAACGAAGAGUCCAAAACUAGGACGAAACAGCUGUCCAGUAU